AAAGUCUCUCUUCUGCACCAGCUUAUGGAUCUUCUGGAUUAGCUCAUCCUCUCUCUGCUUCUGCGGCUUGGUCUUUUCUUUUUCUGGGAAGAAGAAAACACCAGCAAAGAAACAGUCGAGUGUAACUGCCGGAAGCACAUACCAAGGACUGGAAGGCCAAAGAGAAAAAAAAGACCCAGGGCUGGAGAUGAUGACUGAGAAAAGGAGGAGGGCAGAAACUUGAACUUCUUCGGCUUCCUCUGCUCAGACCCCUUCAGAAGAUAAAAAGUGUGGGGCAACUUGUCUGCAGGCACCACCCACCAGCCUCCAGGUAUGUGACCCUGGGCAUGUUCCUCAACCUCUCCAGGCAUCCAGUCUCUCAACAUAGAUAAUCAUGAAGUUGCUGCAAAUUUUAAGAGAGAGAAACCAAGGAAAAUAGUAGGCUCACCGCCUGUAUGUAGUAAGGGCUCAUGAACUGUCAGCGGCUCCUAUCAUAAGCUAUCAUUUUACAUCAUCGUUGUUUUAAUGAUUAAAUGCUCCCCUCUUAAAUAUUUACUGAAUCAAGUACAGAAGAAAUAAAUACUUAGUUGAUGAAUAAAAAACAAAUUUCAUAGCAUAAGUGUGCAAAUGAGUAGUGCUUCAUAAAUUGCAGCUAUUAUAUUUGUAUUCCCAUGAGCUUGUCACUUUCAUUUAAUCUCUGUUUCUCAACCUUGGCACCGCUGACAUUCGAGACAGGAUCAUUCUUAGUUGCAAAGGCCGUCCUAUACACUGUAUGGUGUUUAGCAGGAUCCCCGGCCUCUACCCACUAGAGGCCAGCAGUACCCCACCCCAGGUGUGACAACCAAAAAUGCGUCUGGACAUUGCCCAGUGUCCCUGGGUGUGGGGCAAAAUCACCCCUG